GAAUAUGUGUUUUUUCUUGAAAUUUUUGAUUUGAGAAUCAAAGUGGAAGUCAACUGGCUGAUGGUACGCCUAUCAGUAUUUAUUUAUUUGGUUUCUGGUUUUUACCUCAACUACAAUGAUAGUGAGUAGUAAACAGUGGUAGGCUGUUCAUGAAUUCUUAACAGUUCGAGAAACAAACAAUCUGUGAAUUAGGGAAUAGAACACUUCUCAUGAUAGAUAUUUCCAUCAAGAUUAAGUUAGUUCAUUACUGUAGAUCCACAUUGUCAUGGCGUAACAGAGUUUGCCCUUGCCAACAACAAAGUUUAGAGGUGUAGGAUUACUUAAUUGACAUUUAUGUGCAGCUAAGUACAAGGAAGUCCAUCAUAUUUAAGAGUCUUAUGUCCUUGCUUCAGGUCAUCUGUAAAGGCAGCAAGAAUCAUCCUGCAGAUGCAUGUAUUUAUGUUUAUGCCUUUUGUGAUUUGUUGGGCAUUGUUCCAUUCUUCCUUGAAGAAGGAGGGAAGAGUAAAAAGAGAGAUGUGAUGCGGGUUCCUAACUUUCAAUUCAGAAUAUGAUUAAAGACAUGGUUGGGAGUAUAAGGAUGCCACGUUAUAGAACUUGUUUCAAGAUGAGAUGAUCUAGGAGGAUCACCAGAUCUGUGAUGGACUACUUUGGCCACCUCGGGUAGGUUUGGGAGCAAAGCUGGCUAGAUCCGAGGCUGAAUUACGUAUCAAAACUAUCAAAAGUCAUAACUUUACCGUAUGACAUCCGAUUGAAGUGUUUUUUUUUUGAAAAAAAAAUUGGGUUACUUUCCAAGAUCUACAAGGGUGCGGCAACCAUAAGAGAUUAAUGAUACCUAGCUGAUAAAAAUAUUACUUCCAAUUCAGGUAAAACUUUAAAUAGGCAUAUUUUCCAAUUCAGAAGGAAUUGGAUGAUAUGGCAAUAUAUAAAGUUGAUAUAGAAGUCGAGAUCUAGCUCCUAAAAAAUUUUAACUUUUUGUGAUUAGCUCUACCAAUCACUUGCUAUUUAGAGAAAAUUGUAACAUCUUUUAACUAUAAGAGGAAUUCGACCUGGAUUCUAUAUGGCUGAACUCACUAGUAUAAAUAGCGGACACUGUAGCAAUUUUAUUUGUCUUUAAUGAAAAUAAAAGGCUUAAAACCAUGUUUUUACAAAUUCUUCUUAUUAUCUAAUAUUUUAUUUUAAGAGAUUCAAGUUGAGUGGGUUAAAAACAAUUCUUUCUUCUUCCCAAUCGGAUCAUAAGGUUGAAGGUGUUCUUUCUUCUCCCUGACUGGAUCACAAGGUUGAAGGUGUUCUGUGUUUUGCUGAGGCCUAACAUUGGUUGUAGCUAUUGAUGUGGUGCCUUUAUAAUCUUUUGUUUUUUUUGGGUUGAUUUGGGGGUUGGGGGGGGGGGG
rnacentral:lncRNA from 1 species